AUCGAGCGCGUCUGAUUUGAUGCUUGCAUUAAUGAAAGAUGAGCGGCGGACGGGUGAGUAACGCGUGGGUAACCUGCCCUAUACACAUGGAUAACAUACUGAAAAGUUUACUAAUACAUGAUAAUAUAUAUUUACGGCAUCGUAGAUAUAUCAAAGUGUUAGCGGUAUAGGAUGGACCCGCGUCUGAUUAGCUAGUUGGUGAGAUAACUGCCCACCAAGGCGACGAUCAGUAGCCGACCUGAGAGGGUGAUCGGCCACAUUGGAACUGAGACACGGUCCAAACUCCUACGGGAGGCAGCAGUGGGGAAUAUUGCACAAUGGGCGCAAGCCUGAUGCAGCAACGCCGCGUGAACGAUGAAGGUCUUCGGAUCGUAAAGUUCUGUUGCAGGGGAAGAUAAUGACGGUACCCUGUGAGGAAGCCCCGGCUAACUACGUGCCAGCAGCCGCGGUAAUACGUAGGGGGCUAGCGUUAUCCGGAUUUACUGGGCGUAAAGGGUGCGUAGGUGGUCUUUCAAGUCGGUGGUUAAAGGCUACGGCUCAACCGUAGUUAGCCUCCGAAACUGGAAGACUUGAGUGCAGGAGAGGAAAGUGGAAUUCCCAGUGUAGCGGUGAAAUGCGUAGAUAUUGGGAGGAACACCAGUAGCGAAGGCGGCUUUCUGGACUGCAACUGACACUGAGGCACGAAAGCGUGGGUAGCAAACAGGAUUAGAUACCCUGGUAGUCCACGCUGUAAACGAUGAGUACUAAGGUGUCGGGGGUUACCCCCCUCGGGUGCCGCAGCUACGCAUUAAGUACUCCCCUGGGAUA
rnacentral:rRNA from 1 species